CAAUUUAUGAAAACAUUUGUUCAAAACUACAUAGGACAAGCCAAAGAAAAGUUGAAAAACCAUAUUAAAAUCCACAAUAAAAAGGACUGUAGGCCAGGCCUGGGUGUAUCCUACAUUCACAGCAUGGUGGGAAGCUGUUCCCAUGGCAGCCAUUUUGCCUUAUGGACAAACGGCUUUUUAGAAAAGGCUUUUCCACCUGAGAACUGGCUAAAAGUGUUGACAGCUGUGUUGCCAACAUUUUCUUUGGCAUGUAUCAGGACAGGUGGUAGCAACCAUCCAAACAAAGCAUCAUGAGUUCAGCCAUACAAUUGUUCUUUGAAUAAAUAGACUGGAACCAAAACCCUACCCCACAAAAAAAGCACAAUUAUGUGCAGUGAGACAACAAGAGCCUUUGAAAAUACCAUCUCAGUAGUUUGUGACCUAUGGAAUUGUGCACAAAUGCUUAUUCUGACCUUGCUGUAAAUGGAAGAGGAGACACAAUUUCAGAUGUCAAAAUAUUUUUGAAAGAUAUUAAUCAAAUGGAAGAGUAGCAAUAAACUCAACAAAUAAGUGAACCAAGCUUGCAGAAUGGAAUAUUAAAUAGAAUUGAGUGCUUGAUCAGCAAAAUUAGGUACAGGCUCAGGAUGUGGAAGCACAAAAUGUAUACAGCUAGAUUUUUUUUCUUAGCAGACAGAAUAUUGUUCUCUAAGGCAAACAAACAUUUCCAGAGAAAUAUCUAUAGGUACACAUUAAAAAAAAAUUAUGAUGAAAUGAGGCAGAAAGCGUAUGAGUCCUUGUUUUAUGAAAGUUGACUGUAAGAGAUUUUUUACAACACUUUUCCAGAGUUUGCUUGUAAAAUUGUCACAAAGAAUUAAGACCAAAUUUAAACAAUCCUCUGAAGCAGCUUGUCUUGGGGGAAAAUAAUAAUAAUAGUUAAAAAUUCAGAUUCUAACAAAGAAAAUAAAUGUGCUACAGGAGCAGAUUGAAUAGUUGAUUGAAUAUUUAAGAUAAUAAGCAGAUCAAAUAAUUAGGAUCUGAAAAGAAGGUAAAGGAGUCCUAAGAAAAUGAUGAAAUUAGUUAAAUAGUUUAANNNNNNNNNNNNNNNNNNNNNNNNNNNNNNNNNNNNNNNGAAAGCAUUACUUCCCUGUUCAAACAAAUAGAAGUUUGUGAAGUGGGAAGUUAGUGGACUCUUUUGAUAGUAGGAUAGUCUCAAUCUGGACAGAAAACCAUUUUUGAAAAAAUAAUAUUUGGACUUUGAAAAAACUAGAACUCCUGUGGAUUUUUUUUAUGAAUGAAAGAAAAUAAAAUUAACAUUCCAGUCAUAAAGAGUGAUUAAAAAUGAGGAGCAAGAACAAGGAGAAAGAGAAAAUGAUUUGGUGAGAAAUAUAAACAAAGACUGUGGAAAAGAAGGUGAACUCACCCGGUGGUUCAGGAUUAAAGAAUCUGCUUGCAAUACAGAAGACACGAAUGUGGGUUUGAUUCCUGGAUUGGGAAGAUUCCCUGGAGAAGGGAAUAGCAACCCAUUCUAGUAUUCUUGCCCAUAAAAUCCCAUAUACAGAGGAGAAUGGUAGGCUACAGUCUAUAGGGUUGCAAAGAGUCANNNNNNNNNNNNNNNNNNNNNNNNNNNNNNNNNNNNNNNNNNNNNNNNNNNNNNNNNNNNNNNNNNNNNNNNNNNNNNNNNNNNNNNNNNNNNNNNNNNUACAGAGGAGAAUGGUAGGCUACAGUCUAUAGGGUUGCAAAGAGUCAGGCACAACUGAAGUGACUAAUCAUGCACACAUACAUGGAAAAGAAGAUGAGAGGGAGAAAGAGAAAAAGAAAGGGUUUGUGAUGGAGAAAUAAGAAAGUUGCUCAUGAAAUAUAUACACAAGCUGAACUUCUGAAUGAAGAGGCAACAGAUCUCAGAAUCACAAAAAAGGUCAUGAAGUGGAGUAUGAAGGUGAAGCAGAUACAGGAAGAAGCAGAUGCCAGAAUAGAGAAAAAUAUGAGUAUAGAAUAAGAUUAACAAGUUAAUAUGGAACGCCAUGCAAGCCAGAAACAAAAGUUGGAAUAGAGAAAAAUAAUAUCCAAGGAUAAAGACAAGAAGAAAUCUAGUGAUUAAAAGAUAAGAAGAAAAAUAGAUAAAUAAUGUGAAGUUAGGAUUUAAUGAGUUGAAAGAAAGCAACACUCAGAAUGAGGUCAAUGGAAUCAGUGAAGACAUUAAACCUGAAGAUGAUGCUCAAUUCAAUGAAAACUAACGUGGUAAGACCUCAGACCAAACAGAAGACUAUUGUGUGAAUAUUUUUAGAAUAAUAUUGAAUACGGCACAAAAUAGUGACGUUCAAAUGAAAUGAAAGAAAGCUAUAAUAAAAUGAAAAAAAAGUAUCAAGCAGUUCUUUUUAAUUAAAAGUUAAUUCAGGACUGAUUGUGACUACCAGAUUUCAGAAAAUGUGCUAAUAUUAUAUAUGCCACUGAUAACUUAGGCCCUAUGCCAUGUUUGUUGUUUUCUUUAGGUUUUUUAAAGAGUAUUGCCUAAAUAUGUCUUGGUCAGUUUUUAACUGCCAGUUUUCUUUCUUGAAAUUUGAAAGGAGAAUUAAACAUUAGUAUUCACAUGAAUAAGACAAAGUGCAAUUCCAUCUUUACAACUCUUCUAUUCCUAGCCUUUGACUUUCUGUUACCAAAAAAUAAGUAACUUUAUUUUGAAUUCAGUUGGUUUCAUUAGUGGUAGAAGAAACCACAUCACCUAUAUUUUCUGAUUUUUCUAUUUUUAAAGUAAUUAGCCUCCAAUUAAAAUAAAUAAAUUUAAAUUAAAAAA
ensembl:lncRNA